GAAAAUAAUACAUUUUCCUUUCUGAUAAGCUUGCAACCUUCAACAGGAUCAAAACCAGUAGGCAGAUUUCCACUUGGGAUUGGCUUUAUCUGCAAAAUAGAAAAGUUCCAUGGAUUGUGAUGCGCAAUUCCAGUAUUACAAUUGAAAAAAAUAAGGUAAAAUUGAAAAAACAUGAAGCUGAAGAUCUGUUGUUAAUUGUGAUGCACAAGUCCAGUAUUACAAUUUCAGGCAUCAUAAAAUGUUUUGUAAAACUAUCCAGGCACUCACACAUUUGGCAGCACAUAAAGCAUAAGAAAGGAAACUCUAUGAGAGGUUUACAUGAAGCAUGCUUCACUCAGUAAUACCAUAUACGAUGUCAUAAUAGGCAAAUCAUACAUGAUAUAUUUGUCACUAGAUCUUACAGAAGUGAAACUAACAUGCUAAAGCUGCCCAUCGAUUGAUCCAAGCCCAAAUUUACACCCAAUUUCUAGUGAAACUGAGCUGAGACAAUAACUACAUCAUAAUCUAACACUAUGCUCCAGCACCAGCAAUUUCCAUUGGAUCAAUAUUGCAGAUACCAUAAUUGCACUUAUAGAUUCUAGAAACUCGUACUUCUUUUUUGCUUCAAUAUUCAUUAGAGAAUUUACCUGUUUUCCUUAAACCAAAAAGAAAAGUCACGAAAUCGUGCAUGAAAUAUAACGAGAAUUGAACAUAAAUAAGCAGGGAGUUUCACAGCCUAAGUGAACAUACUAAAUUGAAGCGGGUUCUUUCAAAAGCAGAUUUUGAAUUCUCUAGUUACUUACGGGAUCUUGGAAAGAAUGCUCAAGAUUUGCACCUAAAACAUCUAAUAUUUGCACCUAAUAUUCAAGAUUUCACCUAGUGGACUCGGAGGUAUUUAAAAUUUUAUCAAUGCAGAUCAGUAUAAGCUAUCAGAUACUGGAGACAACAGAAUAGAUACCUAAGCAGAAAAGACCAGAUUGUGUAAACAUUCCAUCGAGGUAACUAGAAACAUACUUUUUCAUAUUAAGGUGAGCAAAGAGAACGAAUCAAGCACAUAAGUUUUCAAGAAAAAGGCAUAACAUCAGGAUAUAUAGUUCAAAUACAAAAGAAGUACAAUUAUUACAAGCUAAUGUGAUAUCAGAUCCAUAGUUCAAUGAUCAAGAGAAACAUGUGUUCUCUUUCUUUCUGAUGGUACGGAAACAGUUAAACAUUUACCAAAUAAUGGACCAGGUUCAAAAUGACAGAAAAGUGAGAGAACUAGUGAAAGACAAAGAGGAUACUAUACGAAUAUCAUCUCUCAGCCUUCUUUAAAACAAGUACAAUAAUUACAUCCUGACUAAAGACUCCGUUAUGAAGAGUCACUUUCAUCUUAAAGAGAUGAUCGAUCAGCUGGUAUUUUUGUAUGACUGACCUGUAACAAACAUGUGGGAAGUCAAUAAUUAAGGAAGAGCAUACCUCUUCUAGCACAGCAACAACAUCUCCCGGUGUGUUCUUCUUCAAAGACACGAACUUUUCACGUGCCUGGCAGUACAGAGCAUUUAGCAAAAAGCAUUAUCUACUAAAAAAAUCAAGGAACAUGAUGCUUUUAAUGGUUUUAUUAUGCUUACUUGGCGAUUUUUCAUUACAUUUUAGAGGAAAAGCAGCUAAUAUUUAAGACUAAUAUAAAUCCAUCCGCAUAACUUUUGAAUUCACAGCACUUGUAUCAGUAAAUCCACUGGAGAACAUUGAAGAUAAUAAACUAGCAAC
rnacentral:lncRNA from 1 species